ensembl:misc_RNA Metazoa_SRP Metazoan signal recognition particle RNA
ACCGGGCGUGGUGGUGCACGCCUGUAAUCCCAGCUACUUGGGAGGCUGAGGCAGGAGAAUUGCUUGAACCUGGGAGGUGGAGGUUGCGGUGAGAGCCGAGAUCAUGCCACUGCACUCCAGCCUGGGUGACAGAGCAAGACUCUGUCUCAA